GUGAUGACAGAACUACUCAUCUACCGAGUACAGAAGAAUGUAGCUCGGCCAUUUUGUUUCAAGACGCAGCAGAGGCCGGGUUUAAUGGUCGUGACGUUCCCCAUGAUGAAAAUGAAAGGUGAUUCAGCAUGUACACCUUUCCGAAUCAUCCAACUCGGAAUUGAAAAUACCUUUACAUUCUGUCGAAAUGUCGUGCCUCGUGCUGGCCUCGUGUGUCUUGCUGCCUAGAUUUAGAAAUCCGUAAUCUAGCCUGUAAUUUCCAUUUGGCGAAAUCAUCUGAAUACUUGAGUCAAAACUGCUGUGCAUUGCCGAAAUUUCGUCUAGUGUGACUUGUACAGAUUGGCUGCAAUUCAUCCCAUGAAGAUACUUCAGAGCAAUCAAAGUAAAUUAGUUGUUAGGAGAUUCAUAUUCUUGUCUAUCGAAGAAAUUCAGAACAUGGCAAAGUCUGAGCUUAAUUGCUGUCAUGCAGAUGCUUUCGUUGCAGCCAGCUGGGGUGCAUUAUUCGCAUGCUAAGGAGCUUGCAGAUUCAAGAAACAGUUACCUGAAGAACAUGAUGUCAUCACGAGCAGCAUCUCUUUCUUUCGACACCCUUACGAUUUCCUCUUUCGUCUGAUGGAAGCUCGAUACGAAUUUCCUAUAAACAAGGUCAAGAGCUGCAACCAAGUUUAGACUGCCUUCGUUUGGAAUUUCAAGCUGCUCUGGCUGCCGCAGAAGCUGAAGAGACGCAGCAUAAAGCAGAAGUCGAGUAAAUGUCUCACACGAUUCAGUUUCAAGAAAACGAGAUCACACAUCUUGGUGAAACUCUUCGACGUCGUGAGAAGGAGACGGCUGACGAAUGGAUUCAACGUGAAACGAGCAUCAUGUCCCAACUAACUGAACAGAAUAAAAAAUAUGUGGAAGAGUUUAAGACUUCUUUACAAGAAAUUCGUAUCGAGCUUCCACCAGACGAAAGAGGAAAUCGGAAGGGUGUCCAAAGAAAGAGAUGCUGCUCGUGAUGACAUCGCUGUACUUCAGGUGACUAAUGUUCAGACUGCACAGUACGACCAGGAGGGAGCAAUGCUCGUUGAGAAAUUGUUAGUUCAGAUUCAGAACGCAUUUGGGGAGUUUCGCUGGGGCCAGAAGAAAUAAGAUCCUUCCCCUUCAGGCGAAGAUGGCGUUUCCAUUCUGGAACUGGGUGAGCUCCAGGAAGUCGUCCUGGACAUAUCCGUUACCAACACUGGAGAGUCGGCAUACGAGGCCGGUCUCUACGUCUCCCACCCGCGAUCGCUCAGUUUCAUGGACCGAGUCUCGGAGGCCAAUCAACUGCUCUGCAACUCGUUCAACGCCACCAUGGUCACGUGCUCGCUGGGUAACCCUUUAAACAUGGGU